rnacentral:SRP_RNA from 1 species
AGCCGGGGAGAUAGCGGUGCCCUGUACCUGCAAUCCGCUACAGCAGGGGUGAUGGCAGUCCUAGGGUAUGUGUCUGUAGAGCUGCCCGAUAUAAGUGGCGUUGACGUUUGGGUCUUGCGCAACAGAAAUCUAUGAACCAUGUCAGGUCAGGAAUGAAGCAGCAUUAAGUAGAACCUUCUGUGUGCCGUAAGGUCGCCUGGACUGAGUUAACUGUAUCGGUAACGUC